rnacentral:rRNA from 1 species
CAGGAUGAACGCUGGCGGCGUGCUUAACACAUGCAAGUCGAACGAAGCAGCUUCUGCUGCAAGAAAGUGACUUAGUGGCGGACGGGUGAGUAACGCGUGGGUAACCUGCCUCAUACAGGGGGAUAACAGUUGGAAACGACUGCUAAGACCGCAUAACCCGCUAGUGUCGCAUGACACGGACGGAAAAUAUUUAUAGGUAUGAGAUGGGCCCGCGUCUGAUUAGCUAGUUGGUAAGGUAACGGCUUACCAAGGCGACGAUCAGUAGCCGACUUGAGAGAGUGAUCGGCCACAUUGGGACUGAGACACGGCCCAAACUCCUACGGGAGGCAGCAGUGGGGAAUAUUGGACAAUGGGGGAAACCCUGAUCCAGCCGACGCCGCGUGAGUGAAGAAGUAUUUCGGUAUGUAAAGCUCUAUCAGCAGGGAAGAUAAUGACAGUACCUGACUAAGAAGCCCCGGCUAACUACGUGCCAGCCGCCGC